rnacentral:lncRNA from 1 species
CGCGAGAAGAGGCUGAACUGCCCCAUCUGCUUCUAAUUUCUUUCUUUCUUUCUUUCUUUCUUUUUUUCCCCUCUUUUCCUUUUCUUCUUUUAAAUAUACGUUUGGAAAUUUGCCGGGCGUGGUGGCGGGCGCCUGUAAUCCCAGCUACUCGGGAGGCUGAGGCAGGAGAAUCGCUUGAAUCCGGGAGACGGAGGUUGCAGUGAGCCGAGAACGCGCCACUACACUCCAGCCUGGACGACGAGAGUGAUACUCCGUCUCAGUCAAUCAAUCAAUCAAUCAAUCGUUUGAUUUUCGUUUUAUGCUUUUACUUCCAAAUUUAUAUUUAUUGCAAAAAAUGUGGAAUAUAACAAAGUGUAAAGGUGAAACUGAAAUAACCCGAAAUUAUAUUUCCCCCUCUGUGGUUUUUUUUUUUCCGUCUCUGUGUUUUUCAAUGUUUUUCAGGCCUUCUGUCUUGAGCUCGUAUUACUGCUGUUCACUGAUGUAUUGUAAAAGCGUAAAACCGGACGUGACCCAAAUGUCUAUCAAAGGAGACUGAUGAGAGAAAUAAACGGAUUUGUUCACACAACGGCUUCUACAGCAAAGAAACAGAAGGUAGCUCCAAGUGCUCUGAAAUGGAAAGGAGCCCUUGCCUUUACCACCCAUACCCCGCUACCCAUGUACCUCCCACUCCCCCAGAUUGAGGAGGGAGCUAGCUAAUAGGCAACUGAAGCACUGGAUUGGAACUGCAACUCAAGGUUGUGGGAGCAAGAGUUCUGAAGUGAAGACCUUGAUCAGCACAAACCUGAUCAUGUGACCUUGUGAAAGUUACUUCACAAUUCCCUGCUUCGGUUACUAUGGUUAUAAAAUUAAACUAAUGGAAUGGAUCUAUUUGCUAAAAAUAUGAGAUUUAAUGAGCAAAUAAUUUUAAAGUGCUCCAUUAAUUCUGCGAUUGUUAAAUAACUUCACUGCAUAAAAUUCUAUAGAACUCUUUCAAAUAUAUAAAAAAAAGCACCCCAAUGAUUCUUUUUUUUUUUGGAAACAGGGUCUCACUCUGUUGCCUAGGCUGGAGUACAGUGCCAUGAUCACAGCUCACUUCAACCUCAGCCUCCCAGGUAGCUGGGACUGCAGGCCUGUACCGCCAUUAUUAUUAUUAUUAUUAUUAUUUUGUAUUUUCUGCAGAAAUGGGGUUUGGUCAUGUUACCCAGGCUGGUCUCAAGCUCCUGGGAUCAAGUGAUCCGUCCGCCUUUGCCUCCCAAAGUGCUGGGAUUACAGCGGGGAGCCACUGCGCCCAGCCCAGCCAGCCCGAUUCUGACCCAGAGGGUUUAGAAGUUGCUUAGACAGAUCUGCUCCUACGGAGUCUUGCUCUGUUGCCCAGACUGGAGUGCAGUGGUGCGAUCUUGGCUCACUGCAACCUCCGCCUCCCGGUUCAAGCGAUUCUUCUGCCUCAGCCUCCCGAGUAGCUGGGACUACAGGUGCCCGCCACCAUGCUCAGCUAAUUUUUGGAUUUUUAGUAGAGACGGGGUUUUACCAUAUUGGCCAGGCUGGUCUCGAACUCCUGACCUUGUGACCCACCCACCUCGGCCUCCCAAAUUGCUGGGAUUACAGGCAAGAGCCACCGCGCCCUGCCGAGAAUUUGCAUUUCUAACAAGUUCCCAGGUGAUGCUGACACUGCUGGCUCAUGGAACCACUGCUGUAGUAUUUUCCAAAUUAUCCUGAUUCUAAGAACCACCUAUGACCUGUGCUGUUUUUUCAGUGGUUACUGGCUCAUGUCACAUAAAUUCUUUUAGGAUUCAAACAUGUUUGUGAUAUUACUCAGUAUUUACAUCUUGCUUUUACUGCAGCAUGAUAGAAAAAUUAACCACAGGUAUAUCAUAACAAAAAGACCAUGAGUUACCAUUUUCACAAAGUUCAGAUAUAUUUAAAUUAGCCUAUUUAAUCUUUUUUUGGUUGUUGUUGAGAUGGAGUCUCACUCUGUCUCUCAGGCUGGAGUACAGUGGCACAAUCUCAGCUCACUGCAACCUCUGCCUCCCAGGUUCAAGUAAUUCUCCUGCCUCAGCCUCCCGAGUAGCGGGGAUUACAGGUGCCCAACACCACACAUGGCUAAUUUUUGUAUUUUUAGUAGAGAUGGGGUUUUGCCAUGUUAGCCAGGCUGGUCUUGAACUCCUGACCUCAGAUGAUCCGCCUGCCUCGGCCUCUCAAAGUGCUGGGAUUACAGGCAUGAGCCAUCGCACCCAGCCUAUGGUACACCUUUACUGAGGAAACAAUUCAGGAACAUCACUCUUAGUAAGGCAAUUGUUGAUUAUAAGUCAAAAAAACACCAUCAUGUACAAAUUCAGGGGAUUUUGUAUACCUUGUUUUUUUGGUUACAAAUAUGCAAAAUUAAAGAUGUUUGCUAAUACUUGUUUCCAAUUUUUAAACUUUUCAAGUGUUGCACUGUUAAUAAUGUUAAAAUAAAAGGCAUUUGACUUAGUAUGAUUGUUUCUUGAACUUCAUCUUUUCAGGUUAUUUUGUUGCUGGCCACUUGCAAGAUUUAUAGGCACUACUGAGGCCUCAGUGCUGAGAUUCAGCAACAUUAUAAUCAUUAUAAUUCAAAGUUUAGUUUUUUGUUUUUUGUUUUUUUUUUUAAAGAGAUGGGGUCAAAAUGCUGCCCAGGCAUGUCUGGAACUCCUGGGCUCAAGCAAUCGUCUUGCCUCAGACUGCCAAGUAGCUGAACUGUAGGCACAUACCACACCUGGCUGUGUUCAGUUUCAUGGGCAAGUCAAACUAUCUAGUGUUUUGUCUGUACAGACAAGGUCAAUGCGACUUCUCCAAGCUUUUA